AGCGGUAUAAUGUAAUGGCAACAUAUUGGUCUCAUGAUCCAAGUAUUGGGGUUCGAAUCCCUGUAUCGCGU